UGUAUACAUUAAGGUGUGCAGGUCAAU
rnacentral:piRNA from 1 species